rnacentral:rRNA from 1 species
UACAGAGGGUGCGAGCGUUAAUCGGAAUUACUGGGCGUAAAGGGCUCGUAGGCGGCCAACUAAGUCGGACGUGAAAUCCCCAGGCUCAACCUGGGAACUGCGUCCGAUACUGGAUGGCUUGAAUUCGGGAGAGGGAUGCAGAAGUUCCAGGUGUAGCGGUGGAAAUGACGCAGAUAUACUAGGAGGAACACCUGCGGCGAAGGCGGGUGCUGGGACGUGACACUGACGCUGAUGUGCGAA